rnacentral:rRNA from 1 species
AUUGAACGCUGGCGGCAGGCUUAACACAUGCAAGUCGAGCGGGGUGAUGGUGCUUGCACUAUCACUUAGCGGCGGACGGGUGAGUAAUGCUUAGGAAUCUGCCUAUUAGUGGGGGACAACAUCUCGAAAGGGAUGCUAAUACCGCAUACGUCCUACGGGAGAAAGAAGGGGAUCACUUGUGACCUUGCGCUAAUAGAUGAGCCUAAGUCGGAUUAGCUAGUUGGUGGGGUAAAGGCCUACCAAGGCGACGAUCUGUAGCGGGUAUGAGAGGAUGAUCCGCCACACUGGGACUGAGACACGGCCCAGACUCCUACGGGAGGCAGCAGUGGGGAAUAUUGGACAAUGGGGGGAACCCUGAUCCAGCCAUGCCGCGUGUGUGAAGAAGGCCUUAUGGUUGUAAAGCACUUUAAGCGAGGAGGAGGCUCUUUUGGUUAAUACCCAAGAUGAGUGGACGUUACUCGCAGAAUAAGCACCGGCUAACUCUGUGCCAGCCGCCGCGGUAA